AGGGUUUGAUUAUGGCUCAGGACGAACGCUGGCGGCGCGCCUAACACAUGCAAGUCGAACGGAGCUGAGAGGAGCUUGCUUUUCUCAGCUUAGUGGCGAACGGGUGAGUAACGCGUGAGUAACCUGCCCUGGAGUGGGGGACAACAGUUGGAAACGACUGCUAAUACCGCAUAAGCCCACGAUCCGGCAUCGGAUUGAGGGAAAAGGAUUUAUUCGCUUCAGGAUGGACUCGCGUCUGAUUAGCUGGUUGGUGAGGUAACGGCCCACCAAGGCGACGAUCAGUAGCCGACUUGAGAGAGUGAUCGGCCACAUUGGGACUGAGACACGGCCCAA
rnacentral:rRNA from 1 species